CACUGCAGGCUCGACCUCUGGGACUCAGGUGAUCCUCCCAUCUCAUCCUCCCAAGUAGCUGGGACUACAGGUUGCCUCUUCCAGAUCCCUUUUGAUCUAUUUUCAGCUAUGGAUUCUUGAGAAUCAAGACUAAGCAGCCUGAAAUGAAGGAGUAAGAGUAUCACCUAACAGUGAUUUUGCUGCCAUAGUAGCUGUUUGUAUACUGGCCAUAUGCCUAGGUAAAAUGAGGCCAGAUCACUCUAAGAGUUUUCUAUCAGAGUUGGUGGUGAACUACUGCUCACUGAUAAUGGGUCUCACUCACUUUGUCAUCCAGGCUGGAGUGCAGUGGUGGGAUCUCAGCUCACUGCAACCUCCACCUCUUGGGUUUAAGCAAUUAUCCUGCCUCAGCCUCCCAAGUAACUGGGAUUACAGACGAGAAACCCCAGCUGAGGAGGCAAAUACACUCAAGGAAAGUAAUAGUUUCCAAAUGCCUGGCAGUGCCAGGAAGGGGCCAUGUCCGUGGACCACUAUGUAAGGAUAUCUCAGUCUCUAGUCAAGCAUGGUUUAUGGUGCCAAAUAAGUGCCAGGUGAACUCACUACAUCUGACAAAAUCUCAAGGAACCAAGUUUACCAGAUAAUAUUUAUGAUUAUGUGAAAAAGACUGAGGAAAUCACUCUAGUGAUCCAUCAUACAGCACCUCCAGUUCCAAAGAAUACUGACUUACUUCAGCUGUACUGGUCUGGAGCUGCACAUUCUUUUCAGACAACUCUUGUUCCA
rnacentral:antisense_RNA from 1 species